rnacentral:rRNA from 1 species
UACGUAGGAUGCGAGCGUUGUCCGGAAUUACUGGGCGUAAAGCGCGCGUAGGCGGUUUCUCGCGUGGGUUGUGAAAGCUCUCGGCUUACCUGAGAGAGGGCAGUCCAAACGGGGAAACUGGAGGGCGGUAGGGGCUGGCGGAAUGCCUGGAGUAGCGGUGAAAUGCGUUGAGAUCAGGCAGAACACCAGUGGCGAAGGCGGCCAGCUGGGCCGUACCUGACGCUGAGGCGCGAAAGCUAGGGGAG